rnacentral:lncRNA from 1 species
GUGGUCGCUGCCCAUAUGGUGGCAUAGCACCAGGAAGGUAACCUGGCAUGCCUUGAUGAUGACCACCAUACUGACCAUGAGGUGGCAUUGUGGGUCUCAUUCCUUGCUGCUGUGGGAUGCCUGGCUGUGGUGGCAUUAUACCUCCAAUUGGUCCAACUGGUGGGUUACUGAUUGGGGCCUGUCCUAGUCGAGGAAGAUUAUGCUGAUAAUUAUGUAACUGUGCCCUUCUCUCUUCCAGUGAUAAAUCCUCAUCUGGAUGGAUCAACUUACUGGUUGCACUGGUGGUUGUAAGUGUAGCAAGCUUACUUGUUAUUGAAGCUGCUGGUUUUGCUGCAGUACUAUUUGUUGUCCUAGUGGUUGAAGCUGUAGACUGUGUAUAAGCAGGGAAUGUAGGCUUUGGGGGUUCUGUAAUUGUUGCAGGGGUGCUAUUUAAGGGCUUGAUAUCUGUACCAACAGGUCCUUGCACAGCUGCCUGAGCUUGUGCUAUGCUAGGAAACAGAGCUUUAGAAGAUGUAGAAAGACUUUAUGAAUUGGAUGAAGCUAUACUUGAGCUUGUUACAGGUGUCCCCAUUUGUCCAGCACUGGGAAAAAGAGGCUUAGUUACUGGAGGCUGUGGAGCAGGUACUGUUGCUGUUGGUGCAGGUGGCCUAUUAAGAAUACCUGAUGCUUACACAGCCUGUACUUGAGUCAUUGAAGGAAUUCCAGGACAGGGAAUGGGGGGGGCAUACCUGGUGGCAUACCAGGCAUAAGAGGUGGUAUUCCUGGUUCAGGUGUCAUCAUUCCACCCAUUGGCAUCAUUCCAGGUGGCAUGCCUGGCAUAACUGGUGGCAUACCUGGCAUCAGAGGAGGAACACCUGGCAUUACUGGAGGCUUGACUGGAGGCAUUCCUGGUGCUCCUGGAACUGGUGGCAGUCCUGGCUGAGCCAUUGGAGGGAUAUAACCUUGCUGAGGUUGAACAGGCUGUGGUUGAAAUGAAGUUGAGGCUGCAGAGUCAUCAUCAUCAUACUCAUCAGAAUCAUCCUGUUGCUUCUUUUUUUUUUGACUCUCUUGUGUUUUCUGUUCAAGAAGUUGUCAUCUUUCAUCCAUAUCUUUUUCUAGAAUACCUUCCAUACCGUAUAUUUCCAACUCUAUGUAUGUUCUCCUAGGUAUUGCAUUCCUUACAGCAUCUAUUGUCUCUUUAUGAACCUGCAUGCAAUGAAUAGCUAAGCCAGGUCCUGUAUACAAUUUCUUAUGACAUAUAUGGCAUUUAAAAUGCUUUGCCUUUUUGUGCUGUAUAAGGAUCUUCUCAUCAUCAAAUCUCUAUUACAAUACCAGCACCACGGCUUCAGCUAAUUCUUCUUCUUGCGACCCAUAGCUGUGUCCUUUCGGAAAAUUAAAGGGAGGAGAAAAUAGCAGGAAAAGGAGGAAAUAC